CCUACGGGAGGCAGCAGUAGGGAAUAUUGCACAAUGGGCGAAAGCCUGAUGCAGCAACGCCGCGUGCGCGAUGAAGGCCUUCGGGUCGUAAAGCGCUUUUCGGGGAGAUGAGGAAGGACAGUAUCCCCAGAAUAAGGUUCGGCUAACUACGUGCCAGCAGCCGCGGUAAU
rnacentral:rRNA from 1 species